CCUACGGGAGGCAGCAGUGGGGAAUAUUGGACAAUGGGCGAAAGCCUGAUCCAGCAAUGCCGCGUGAGUGAUGAAGGCCUUAGGGUCGUAAAGCUCUUUUACCAGGGAUGAUAAUGACAGUACCUGGAGAAUAAGCUCCGGCUAACUCCGUGCCAGCAGCCGCGGUAAUACGGAGGGAGCUAGCGUUGUUCGGAAUUACUGGGCGUAAAGCGUGCGUAGGCGGUUAUUCAAGUCAGAGGUGAAAGCCCGGGGCUCAACCCCGGAACGGCCUUUGAAACUAGAUAACUAGAAUCUUGGAGAGGUCAGUGGAAUUCCGAGUGUAGAGGUGAAAUUCGUAGAUAUUCGGAAGAACACCAGUGGCGAAGGCGACUGACUGGACAAGUAUUGACGCUGAGGUACGAAAGCGUGGGGAGCAAACAGGAUUAGAUACCCUGGUAGUCCACGCCGUAAACGAUGAUAACUAGCUGUCCGGACACUUGGUGUUUGGGUGGCGCAGCUAACGCAUUAAGUUAUCCGCCUGGGGAGUACGGUCGCAGAUUAAAACUCAAAUGAAUUGAACGG
rnacentral:rRNA from 1 species